rnacentral:rRNA from 1 species
GAUGAACGCUGGCGGCGUGCCUAAUACAUGCCAGUCGAGCGAACGGACGAGAAGCUUGCUUCUCUGAUGUUAGCGGCGGACGGGUGAGUAACACGUGGAUAACCUACCUAUAAGACUGGGAUAACUUCGGGAAACCGUAGCUAAUACCGGAUAAUAUUUUGAACCGCAUGGUUCAAAAGUGAAAGACGGUCUUGCUGUCACUUAUAGAUGGAUCCGCGCUGCAUUAGCUAGUUGGUAAGGUAACGGCUUACCAAGGCAAUGAUGCAUAGCCGACCUGAGAGGGUGAUCGGCCACACUGGAACUGAGACACGGUCCAGACUCCUACGGGAGGCAGCAGUAGGGAAUCUUCCGCAAUGGGCGAAAGCCUGACGGAGCAACGCCGCGUGAGUGAUGAAGGUCUUCGGAUCGUAAAACUCUGUUAUUAGGGAAGAACAUAUGUGUAAGUAACUGUGCACAUCUUGACGGUACCUAAUCAGAAAGCCACGGCUAACUACGUG